UGGGAUGGCAUUUGCUCUCUGCUGAUCUCUGAAAGUUUCAGAAUUCAGAGGUGCAGCAGCAUGAAGCUUGGCAAUGGCAGACGCCAAUACAUGGCCCCGUUUGAAGAAGGCUUGGCGAUUAGCAUGAUUGAGGACGUACACGGGAGGAGCUUGAUCCACGACAAUCUACAAAGUGCACAUCAUGGAACCUGACAACAACCUGAAGCUCACUGAAUUUCUUGGCUUCACUCAUCAUGCAUAAGCCAGCAAAGUAGUCAACACAAUCAGAAAUGAUAAAAGCGAGAUCGUCAAUGGUUGUUUUGUCAGAGGACUUGCAUUAGGCAGCCAUGGAUAUGCAUCCGGAGGUGGCAUGACACAAUUAUCACCAUUGAAGUACACGCGGCGUGGGAAGGCCCAUCCCUUGUCAAAGGUGAAGGCCAUGGAAUCCUUCCGCAGAAGUAUCUCUGACUGUGCAUUUCCAAGUGGACCAGCUUGCAUGAGUAAAUCAUUAUAGAACUUUACUCCCCAGAACAUCGCAGUAUCAUCUAAAAUGAAAGGAAUAAACUCAAUGAGAGAGAGAGAGAGAGAGAGAGAGAGGAAGGAAGAUAUUACAAAUGCACUCCAUUUUUUCAAAAUCAAAUAGAACAGUUUGUGACUUACUUAUCCUGCUUCCAUAUGGAGUAAGUGGUUUGUAGUUGAAGCUAAACAGCUGGGUAAUAUUAUCGAAGUUAGGAUGUUGAACGACCAAAUUCCAUUGUGUGUAAUUCAUGCGGUAGUUGAAGUUCGUAAUUGUGAUCUUGACUCUCCAGUAUUCCUUGUAGUUGAGUUUCACAUGCCAGUGGAUUCUUAUUGGGCACAUGUGGGAAGUACAUUGGACAAGAGGCUGGCCAGUCCAUUUGCCAGGGCCAUCGAUGGCGGAUUGUAAAUAAGCUUCCAGGAGCAGUUUUAUUGUUUUGGCAGCCACAAGAGCAUGUUGGGCAGUUCACAAUCGUGUCGUUAUAAAAUGAUGAGAGAGAUACACAGCAGGAUGGAGUCUUCUGAGCAAGAAAUUGGGAGCUGCAAAUGCAUUUCCUCAAAGCAUGCAAGCAAUUGGUACUGAGCAUAAAAGAGCAACAGAUGAGGUACUUACUCAGAGCUUGGGUUGCCCUGCGCCCAUCCUGGGUGAAAAACUUGGUAGGCCUGACAAUCAUAGCACGCCCACAUGUGUACCCAGGACCUGGGGCCUUAAGAGUGAAGUUCUUAGGCAACUUUACUGUCUUAUUGGUAGUCCCAGCAAGACCUACGCUGAUCUGGAAGGAAGAAGCAGCGUUUGAUGGGUCCUGGUUAAAUGUAUUUAUAACUCCUGCUUUGCAGCAAUUGGCGAUUUGCAUGUUGUAUGGGGUGCCUGGGAGUAGAUCAACAAUCGUGGGAUCUUUCUUGCAGCAGUGGGGUGUGUUGCCCUUGAACUUUGAGCAAUCACCCUGCUCGGUAGUCUGCGCUCCAACCA